ACUAUUAAAAGUAUUUAACGGGGCGUUUUACUCCACAUAAGCUCCAAGCAAGCGAGAGACGACGAUAAAGAGGAUCACAGUACAAGAUGAAAGGCAUAAUGUUGAUAGCCAUCGCCAUGGCAGUGCUCGUGUCCAUCAGCGAUGCAGGAGUCCAGAGAAAGAAACGUGAAUCGGACGCAUGCUACUUGCAGUGUGAAGAUUUGAAAUCCAAAUGCAAAUUGCCCUGCACCACUGACGCCUGCAGAUCUGAUUGUGACCUAAAAUACAGCUAUUAUCAAUGCCAAGGACCUUGCUAUAAUACGGGUGUACCCCCUCCAGAGGAGGAGCCUCUUUUUUAACUCGUUCUUAUAUAUAAACCAUUAUACAUAUAGUUUGACCUCUCCACUAAAGGGAUUGGAAAGAAACAUUCGGAGAAGAAUCAUUCUGUUCCCAAGAGUUGAUGUAAAAGAGUAAAUAUAAAAUGAAAGUAAAUUCAUCAUGAUGGCUUUG